AUGCUUUCAAAUAUCAGCAUUGUUUGGCAAAAAUUGCUUCAAACUGCAGAAUUAAGCUUUGGUGCAAAGAUUCACAGAAAGUGGAAAAUAAACCUGCUAUAUUAUAUAAGUUCCUUGACAAAUUGCUUUUGUUUCUCUUUUGUAAGUCGCUUUGGAAAAAAGUGUCUGCUAAAGGCGUACAUGUAAAUGCAAUACUAACCCUAACCAAGGGUUUUCUGGUUACCAAGGCCCUGUUAUCCUUGCUGCUGGAUGCUAUGUUUAUCUAGUCGUAAAACAGCAAUCAAAAGUAUACAUGUGACCAUGGAUCACAAAACCAGUCAUAAGUGUCAAUUUUUUGAAAUUGCGAUUUAUACUAUGAUGAUAAUCUGAUAGGCAAGGCAAGUUUAUUUAUAUAGCACAUUUCGUACACAAUGGUAAUUCAAAGUGCUUUACAUAAAAGAAAGUAAAAUAAUCAUGAAGAAAAAUAAUAACAGAAAUAAAACAAGCAAUUUUAAAACAUAAAACAAGCAAUUUUAAAACAUUGGAAAUGAUUUAAAAAUUGACUUAUUUAAAAUGAAUUUAAAACAGUUAAAAACAGAAAAUGAUUUUACAUAGAAUACAGUGAAUACGUAAAAUACAGUGCAAUCAGUUCGGACAUUGCAGUGCUCAUUCAAUAAAUGCACAGCUAAACAGAUGAGUUUUGAGUCUAGAUUUAAAUGUGACUAAUGUUUUAGCACAUCUGAUCUCUUCUGGAAGCUGAUUCCAACUGCAGGCGGCAUAGUAACUAAAGGCGUACUCCCCUUGUUUUGUGUGAACCCUUGGUAUUUCUAACUGACUCGAUCCUAAUGAUCUGAGUGGUCUGUUAGGCUUAUAUUGAGUGAGCAUAUCUGCAAUGUAUUUUGGUCCUAGGUCAUUGAGUGAUUUAUAAACGAGUAAAAGUACUUUAAAAUCAAUCCUAAAUGUAACUGGAAGCCAGUGUAAGGACCUGAGGACUGGUGUGAUAUGCUCAGAGUUUCUGGAUCUAGUCAGAAUCCUGGCAGCAGCGUUCUGGAUGAGCUGCAGCUGUCUAAUGGUCUUUUUGGGAAGGCUGGUGAGAAGACCAUUACAAUAGCUGCGUUUGAUAAUUAGCUAGCUAUAACUUACCCACAGAUCCGAUCCGGUUUUCACCUGUUUUCUACCAAAGCCCGUCU
rnacentral:lncRNA from 1 species